GGGAAUAUUGCACAAUGGGCGCAAGCCUGAUGCAGCAACGCCGCGUGCGGGAUGACGGCCUUCGGGUUGUAAACCGCUUUUAGUAGGGAAGAAGGGCUUCGGCUUGACUGUACCUGCAGAAAAAGGACCGGCUAACUACGUGCCAGCAGCCGCGGUAAUACGUAGGGUCCGAGCGUUGUCCGGAAUUAUUGGGCGUAAAGAGCUCGAAAGCGGUUUGUCGCGUCUGCUGUGAAAACUAGAGGCUCAACCUCUAGCCUGCAGUGGGUACGGGCAGACUUGAGUGGUGUAGGGGAGACUGGAAUUCCUGGUGUAGCGGUGGAAUGCGCAGAUAUCAGGAGGAACACCGAUGGCGAAGGCAGGUCUCUGGGCACUUACUGACGCUGAGGAGCGAAAGCGUGGGGAGCGAACAGGAUUAGAUACCCUGGUAGUCCACGCCCUAAACGUUGGGCGCUAGAUGUGGCGACCUUUCCACGGUUUCCGUGUCGUAGCUAACGCAUUAAGCGCCCCGCCUGGGGAGUACGGCCGCAAGGCUAAAACUCAAAGGAA
rnacentral:rRNA from 1 species